rnacentral:rRNA from 1 species
ACCUCUUCGUGAAGAGGCGAAGAUAUUACUAUAAGACGAGAAGACCCCAUGGAGCUUUAAACACAGAUAACACCUUCUUCUUCUCAAACCUUUUUAAAAAGAAAAUCUGUUACACUAGUUUUCGGCUGGGGUGCCCAAGGAGAAUAACCCAACCUCCCUGACGACUUCUAUCCUAGAGCCACAACUCAAAGAAACAACAAAUUGACGUAAAAUGACCCGAUUAUAAUAAUCGACCAACGAACCAAGUUACCCUGGGGAUAACAGCGCAAUCCAUUUCGAGAGCCCCUAUCGACAAAUGGGUUUACGACCUCGAUGUUGGAUCAGGGUAUCCUAGUGGUGCAGCAGCUACUAAAGGUUUGUUUGUUCAACAAUUAAAACCCUACGUGAUCUGAGUUCAGACCGG